UAAUAUGUGAGGAAUCAGUGCUUGACAAAUUUAGUCAUGGAACACGACUUGGAGCUUUUAUUUUGAAGACCUAUCCGAGAAGCCAAUGACAUGUUACUGUAGUCGUUGACUUCACAAUUCCAAGGACGUUUGACAGCGGUAUCUCCGAAUCUGUGACUGUUGUGCUUAUUUAUUGAAUAACUAUGGUCACUAGAUACUAGAAGUAAUUAACAUUUGAGGAAAACUGAAUGAGUCAUUCGAUAUAGGUUACGUUAAGUCUUUGAAAUACGUUGAGACCUGGAUUAGCGCGUCAGGUAAAUUAGCUAGCCAGCUGGUUAACGGUAGCUGUGUUUCUGAGAGAAACCGAAGCACAGAAAAGGUGGGUUACCAGCAGAGCGGUAAACCACCACGCCAGUAAGUAAUACCUAAAAGGCAGUGUGCGUGAAUGAGUUUUUUCCCGAUAUCCCUUAAGGAGCCGAGUGGCAGCGUUAACGUUUCUGGCGAUGCCAUUUAUCAACAUAAUCGUUUGUGCUACAGAAUGAGACGAUAAGCUAGAUUACUACAUGAAAGAAAGAACGAACGAACGUAAAGGGGUUUGCAGAGCCGUACUGUCGAAAUGGUAGAAUACCAGGAGAAUUUCCAGAGUACCGAAAGUUGCUCAGAUGGACCACCGACACCUUUCCAGUCACCUUCGCCUCCUCCGUCUGCCCGGGACUGUCUUCGUCUCCAGAGAAGCAGCGUCUGCUCCCGUGCAUACUUCGUGGUAGUGAUGGUCUUCUUUCACCUCUACAUAAUAAAUAUAAUAGCUUUGCUAUUGUAUGUGCACUAUAACACUGGAUCCGGGGACGAUUCAAAGAACGAACACAACCUCGCUGACAGAAGCUCGAGUGUAACGUUAGCUCCUCCGGCAUCCAGCGAGCUCCACACUGCAUCUUCAGGCUCGUCAGGACCCAUAUUUCAUCUCCCACGCUUGGAGGGUAUACGGGUUGGCCACAUGCAAACAGUGUCCCUAACUCCUGACCGUACUCAUAAGUUGCGGACCCUCAGCCUGAAGCCACUGUUGUUUGAGAUUCCAGGGUUUCUGAGCCCAGAGGAGUGUGCGGUUGUAAUGCAGCUGGCGCAGUUAAAGGGCCUCACUGCCAGCCCAAGGCCAGCUCCCGUGGACAGUCUAGAGGAGCAGCUGACCCAGGAUGAGCUCUUCAGUCUGCUGGAUCUCAACCAGGACGGUUUGCUGCAGAGAGAGGAGAUUUUGAGUCUGUCACUCUCAAAUGAUGGAUCCUGGCUGAGCUCAUACAGCUUGCGGGAAAUUCACAUGGGUCUUGAAAGAAGCCCUGCUGACAUGGAUCGUGUGCCCAGUGAAGUACUGCAUGGAGUGCUGUCACUAAAGGAGUUCAGGCAGGUGAGUGGUAAUGUGUUUCGGCAUGGCGGUGCUGGGCAGGGCUUGUAUGGACAGAACCAAAUUAGACAGAAGAGCAUCCAAACGCGACUGUUCCUGGGAGAAGGCACCCACCACCUUCUGAAGAGCAUCAGGAACAGGGUGACUCGUUUAACCCGACUCCCAUCUUCAUUGAUUGAUCUCAGUGAGCCGUUGGAAGUGGUUCACUACGAGCAAGGUGGAUACAGUCAUGCCCACCAUGACAGUGGCCCCUCCAAUCCAGAUAGCUGCUGUGUGCAUACAUAUCUGGCUGCAAACAGCUCUGCCCCCAACCAUAUAUCAUGCAGAUUUGCCAUUUUUCAGUUGCUCUGCGUCUGCAGUAUCACACAAUGCUCCCAACCAGGAAGGGCAAAGGCAAGCCUGUGUUGCCUCCGCGAUGCAAGUAGCCUGUUGCCGCCUCUUUUGAACUGCCUUUCAUGCAUCAUUGUAGGACAGCUGAACUUGCUUGGAGAAAUGCUUUAACUGUGCAAUUCUGUGUACAUAUCCUAACAGACCUAACAAAAUCAACGGGAAGAGAGGAACUAAGCUAAACAUCUCAUCCAUUGGGUUUAACUGAUCAAAGCUGCUUAGAAAGAUGAUUCUAGGAAUGACAUCUGAACUACUCUGCUUUUAAUAUCAUACAACUUUCAAACAAGCAAAGAUCUGAACGCAAACAAGCACUCACCCACUUACUUGCAAUUAACUGUAAAUGACUGUCCUUGAUUGCGUGCCUAAUCCUUAAGCGUUUUUCUGUUUGUACUAGGCCUGUUACAAUUACUACAUAAUGAUCCUGAUCACAAUUUCUUGACUUGAUUGUAAUUAUUUUCCACAGUUGUUAACUUUCAUAAUCAUAUGUUUACAUUGCAAAUAUAUAUAAAUAAAAAAGUAGAAAACACAUUUAUUUGGAUACGUCUAGGGUCUUAUGAAAACAAGAAACUCUCCAACUUCAGGUGCUACAACAUUUUUAGAAGGUAGUGGUGAGGAACAUUUAUUUACCUGAGCUGGAGCUGUGUCAGUUGUCUGUACCUACAGGGUAUCGACGGUUUGGAAACAAUAUAGCUAAUCAGGCUAUUUAGCUUCUUUAGGCUUUAAACAUUUAACAAUAAUUGCAAUUAUUGAUAUGACAAUUAUUCAUCAGCUAAAAUUUCAUAAUCGCAACAGGCCAAAGUAGAAAGUAUAAGUUAGAUCUAUUAUGAUCAUGACAUUUUAGCUGACCAUAUAAAAAUAUUGCAUUUAUUAAAUUAAUUGUCUGUUUUUGUUCAUUUAUUUGCAGUGGAUCAUUACAAGUAUAGGCAGCCAAAUUGGCUGAUUGUGCUUUCUAGCUGUAAGUACUUAGUACUUAGAGUACUUAGAGCCCAACUGACGACAGACCGAGCUUGAGCUCAAUUAGACAUACCAAGUUAGAAGUUUUUUGUUGUUUUUGUAAGAUCGAUGCCAUGUCUCAAUAAAUGCAUUUUCUUAUUUCUUUUAUUUAUAUUUACAUAUAUUUGCCUCAGCCCAACUGAUGAAAAUGCACCCGGUUUACAUUCUGUUUGUUGCGACAAAAAUAAUUGAAACAGGCCUAUUACUACUCAUUUUAUCAUAUUUGUAUAACUGAACAACUCUAUUUGGCUCCAAAGCCUCUCAACCUGUGUGUUCAGACUUAAAAUAGGGGGUGCUAUUUCUUUCAGUUAUUGUAUUUUCUAUGUGAAGGUUCAUUGUUUAUCAGUUCUAACACACUAACAUCUUACACACAGAUUUGUAUUUGUGAGUUAAAGGCUGUACGAUUAAACGUGUUGGUGUUUGUUGUUGAUAGAUACGUGACUUUGUUGCUAUUUCUGAAUAUGGUGGAUGGAGGCGGGGAGAGCAGCUUCCCCGUGGCUGACAACAGGACUUAUGAGGAGGAGGCCUUGGGUGACCUUUCUCAGCAGUACUGUGCC